AGCUCGCUCGGCUGGUUGUUAGAUG
rnacentral:miRNA from 1 species